AAUGAAUUCCUGACUCACCGAAAUCAAGCCUCCUCCCUGGCCUGCACGACCACCUCGGCCUCCACGACCACCUCGCCCACCACGACCACCACCACGAUCACCAUGGUGCCCGCCCUCUUGGUAUCUAUUGUCCUGCUGGUAGCCACCACCCUGGUAUCCACUUCCUGUAUAUGAAGAAGAUGUUUGGAAGCCACCAUAACCUCCGCCUUGAUAGCCACCACUGCUGUGGCCACCAUGAUAGCCACCUGGCUGGAAACCUGAAUCUCGAUAACCACCAUCUUGGUAGCCACCUCCUCCACCACUCCCUCCAUCUGUCCAGCCUCCUUGAUGCUUAUUUCCUCUUCCUCCCCCUCGGCCACCAUGGUCAUAGCCACCACGUCCACCUCUCCCGCCUCCUUGUUCAUGACCUCCUCGUCCUCCGUAUGAGGAAUGUUCAUAGCCACCUCUCCCUCCUCCUCGGCCUCCUGUUUGCUGCUGGGGGCCAUCUUGCCUCUUCUGCCACGGUGGCAUCUCUGGGGGUGGAGGUUCGAUUUCAUUGGGUCUACCACCUCUGUCAGGCACCCUGCCCAUCAACACCUACAGAAUAGGAAAGAUAUUUUAAACUUUUAUUUUAUGAACAGAAAUAAAUGCAUUUGGAAAAAAUUAAAGGUACUCUAAUCACCUUAUUGAUGGCACAGGCAGUCUUUUCUCUUAUAGAGCCGCUGCUUGUCCUUAAAAUCUUUGACAAGUCCUGCCUUGCAGCCAAAAGAUGGGCAACAGAAAUAGUACUUUUAGGGGAUAAGACUGAACGUUUCGGCUGGUAAACCUUGGCUAAUUUUUCUGUCUGGCUCUG
rnacentral:lncRNA from 1 species